rnacentral:rRNA from 1 species
UACGUAGGGUGCGAGCGUUAAUCGGAAUUACUGGGCGUAAAGCGUGCGCAGGCGGUUUUGUAAGCCAGAUGUGAAAGCCCCGGGCUUAACCUGGGAAUGGCAUUUGGGACUGCAAGGCUUGAGUGCGGCAGAGGAGACUGGAAUUCCUGGUGUAGCAGUGAAAUGCGUAGAUAUCAGGAGGAAUACCGAUGGCGAAGGCAGGUCUCUGGGCCGACACUGACGCUCAUGCACGAAAGCGUGGGGAGCAAACAGG